rnacentral:rRNA from 1 species
GUGAAAUUGUUGAAAGGGAAACGCUUGAAGUCAGUCAUGUCGUCCAGGGAUCAACCUUGCUUUUGCUUGGUGCACUUUCUGGUUUGACAGGUCAGCAUCAAUUUUGACCAUUGGAAAAAGGCUAAGGGAAUGUGGCAUCUUUGGAUGUGUUAUAGCCCUUGGUCGCAUACAAUGGUUGGGAUUGAGGAACUCAGCACGCCGAAAGGCCGGGUUUUAAACCACGUUCGUGCUUAGGAUGCUGGCAAUAUGGCUUUAAUCGACCCGUCUUGAAACACGGACCAAGGAGUCUAACAUGCCUGCGAGUGUUUGGGUGGAAAACCCGAGCGCGUAAUGAAAGUGAAAAGUUGAGAUCCCUGUCGUGGGGAGCAUCGACGCCCGGACCAGACCUUUUGUGACGGUUCCGCGGUAGAGCAUGUAUGUUGGGACCCGAAAGAUGGUGAACUAUGCCUGAAUAGGGUGAAUCCAGAGGAAACUCUGGUGGAGGCUCGUAGCGAUUCUGACGUGCAAAUCGAUCGUCAAAUUUGGGUAUAGGGGCGAAAGACUAAUCGAACCAUCUAGUAGCUGGUUCCUGCCGAGGUUUCCCUCAGGAUAGCAGAAACUCAUAUCAGAUUUAUGUGGUAAAGCGAAUGAUUAGAGGCCUUGGGGUUGAAACAACCUUAACCUAUUCUCAAACUUUAAAUAUGUAAGAACAAGCCGUCUCUUGAUUGGACCGCUUGGCGAUUGAGAGUUUCUAGUGGCCAUUUUUGGUAAGCAGAACUGGCGAUGCGGGAUGAACC